rnacentral:rRNA from 1 species
GUUGUAUAGUCAAGUAAUUAAGUGCAUGUGGUGGAUGCCUUGGCAGUCAGAGGCGAUGAAAGACGUGAUAGCCUGCGAAAAGCUCCGGGGAGGCGGCAAAUAUCCUUUGAUCCGGAGAUGUCUGAAUGGGGGAACCCACCUACUUUAAGGUAGGUAUUGCAACAUGAAUACAUAGUGUUGCAAGGCGAACGAGGGGAAGUGAAACAUCUCAGUACCCUUAGGAAAAGAAAUCAAUUGAGAUUCCCUCAGUAGCGGCGAGCGAACGGGGAUCAGCCCAUUAAGUUAUGUGUGUUUUAGUGGAACGCUCUGGGAAGUGCGAACGUAGAGGGUGAUAUUCCCGUACACGAAAGGGCACACAUAAUGAUGACGAGUAGGGCGAGGCACGUGAAACCUUGUCUGAAUAUGGGGGGACCAUCCUCCAAGGCUAAAUACUCCUGACUGACCGAUAGUGAACCAGUACCGUGAGGGAAAGGCGAAAAGAACCCCUGUGAGGGGAGUGAAAUAGAUCCUGAAACCGCAUGCAUACAAGCAGUGGGAGCACCUUCGUGGUGUGACUGCGUACCUUUUGUAUAAUGGGUCAGCGACUUAUAUUCAGUAGCGAGGUUAACCGUAUAGGGGAGCCGUAGAGAAAUCGAGUCUUAAUAGGGCGUUUAGUUGCUGGGUAUAGACCCGAAACCAGGCGAUCUAUCCAUGAGCAGGUUGAAGGUUGGGUAACACUAACUGGAGGACCGAACCCACUGUCGUUGAAAAGCCAGGGGAUGACUUGUGGAUAGGGGUGAAAGGCUAAUCAAGCCUGGUGAUAGCUGGUUCUCCCCGAAAGCUAUUUAGGUAGCGCCUCGGACGAAUACCAUAGGGGGUAGAGCACUGUUUCGGCUAGGGGGUCAUCCCGACUUACCAAACCGAUGCAAACUCCGAAUACCUAUGAGUACUAUCCGGGAGACAGACUGCGGGUGCUAACGUCCGUAGUCAAGAGGAAAACAAUCCAGACCGCCAGCUAAGGCCCCAAAAUCAUAGUUAAGUGGGAAACGAUGUGGGAAGGCAUAGACAGCUAGGAGGUUGGCUUAGAAGCAGCCACCCUUUAAAGAAAGCGUAAUAGCUCACUAGUCGAGUCGGCCUGCGCGGAAGAUGUAACGGGGCUAAAACUAUGUGCCGAAGCUGCGGAUGUAUACUUUGUAUACGUGGUAGGGGAGCGUUCUGUAAGCCGAUGAAGGUGUGUUGAGAAGCAUGCUGGAGGUAUCAGAAGUGCGAAUGCUGACGUGAGUAACGACAAAACGGGUGAAAAACCCGUUCGCCGAAAGACCAAGGGUUCCAGUCCAACGUUAAUCGGGGCUGGGUGAGUCGACCCCUAAGGCGAGGCCGAAAGGCGUAGUCGAUGGGAAAAUGGUUAAUAUUCCAUUACUUCUGUGUAAUGCGAUGAGAGGACGGAGAAGGCUAAAUCAGCCUGGCGUUGGUUGUCCAGGUGAAAGGAUGUAGGCAUGUAUCUUAGGCAAAUCCGGGGUACUCUAUGCUGAGAUCUGAUAGCAAGCUGUACUUGUACAGCGAAGUGGUUGAUGCCAUGCUUCCAGGAAAAGUCUCUAAGCUUCAGUUACACAGGAAUCGUACCCGAAACCGACACAGGUGGUCAGGUCGAGUAGACCAAGGCGCUUGAGAGAACUCUGCUGAAGGAACUAGGCAAAAUGGUACCGUAACUUCGGGAGAAGGUACGCUGUUGUUGGUGAUGGAACUCGCUUCCUGAGCUGACGACAGCCGCAGAAACCAGGCCGCUGCAACUGUUUAUUAAAAACAUAGCACUCUGCAAACACGAAAGUGGACGUAUAGGGUGUGAUGCCUGCCCGGUGCUGGAAGGUUAAUUGAUGGGGUUAGCGUAAGCGAAGCUCUUGAUCGAAGCCCCAGUAAACGGCGGCCGUAACUAUAACGGUCCUAAGGUAGCGAAAUUCCUUGUCGGGUAAGUUCCGACCUGCACGAAUGGCAUAAUGAUGGCGGCGCUGUCUCCAGCAGAGGCUCAGUGAAAUCGAAAUCGCUGUGAAGAUGCAGUGUACCCGCGGCUAGACGGAAAGACCCCGUGAACCUUUACUGCAGCUUGACACUGAACUUUGACCUUACUUGUGUAGGAUAGGUGGGAGGCUUUGAAGCUGGAACGCUAGUUCCAGUGGAGCCGUCCUUGAAAUACCACCCUGGUAAUGUUGAGGUUCUAACUCUGUCCCGUGAUCCGGGACGAGGACCGUGUCUGGUGGGUAGUUUGACUGGGGCGGUCUCCUCCUAAAGAGUAACGGAGGAGUACGAAGGUGCGCUCAGCGUGGUCGGAAAUCACGCGUAGAGUAUAAAGGCAAAAGCGCGCUUAACUGCGAGACCCACAAGUCGAGCAGGUACGAAAGUAGGUCUUAGUGAUCCGGUGGUUCUGUAUGGAAGGGCCAUCGCUCAACGGAUAAAAGGUACUCUGGGGAUAACAGGCUGAUACCGCCCAAGAGUUCAUAUCGACGGCGGUGUUUGGCACCUCGAUGUCGGCUCAUCUCAUCCUGGGGCUGAAGCAGGUCCCAAGGGUAUGGCUGUUCGCCAUUUAAAGAGGUACGCGAGCUGGGUUUAGAACGUCGUGAGACAGUUCGGUCCCUAUCUACCGUGGGCGCUGGAAAUUUGAGAGGAUCUGCUCCUAGUACGAGAGGACCAGAGUGGACGAACCUCUGGUGUACCGGUUGUGACGCCAGUCGCAUCGCCGGGUAGCUAUGUUCGGAAGGGAUAACCGCUGAAAGCAUCUAAGCGGGAAGCCUACCUCAAGAUAAGAUUUCCCUAGGACUUUAUGUCCUCUAAAGAGCCGUUCGAGACUAGGACGUUGAUAGGUUGGAUGUGGAAGCAUAGUGAUAUGCGAAGCUGACCAAUACUAAUUGCUCGUGAGGCUUGACUAUACAACACCCAAGCAGUUG